CUAUCUCUUGUUGCAACGUGGUUUAUAAAUGUAUCACAAAGAUAUUAACUAACGAGUUGAAGGGUAUUCUGUCAAAUUUCAUCUCUCCUAUCCAAAGUGCUUUUGUGGAUGGUAGGAGGAUUGGUCAUAACAUCUUCCUUGCUCAUGAACUGGUCAAGGGCUAUUCGCGGGAUAGUAUCUCUUCCAGGUGCGCUAUAAAAGCUGAUAUAAUGAAAGCUUUUGAUUCGUUAAUGGAAGUAUGCAGGGAUAUAUCGAAGGUUCGAAGGGUCUCAUACAAGGGGAUCAUCUUUCCCCUUAUCUUUUUGUAAUGGCUAUUGAGGUCCUCUCGAAAAUGCUUGAUUCUGCAGCUCAAGAAGGAAAGAUUGCAGAUCAUCCCCUUUGCAGUAAGAUACAUCUUACUCAUCUUGGUUUUGCAUAUGACCUUGUAAUUUUCUUGAAGGGAGAUGUAGACUCUUUGAAAGUUGUUAUGAAUAUCUUUGACUCCUUUUAUGAGAUUUCUAGCCUGAAGCUUAACCCAAGCAAAUCAGAAUUAUUUUGUGCCGGCAUGGAUGAAGUUAAGGUGCAGGAAAUAUCGUCCAUUAAUGGCUUCAAAAGAGGGACUUUUCCAGUUAAAUACUUGGGAGUUCCUUUGAUAUCAGGCAGACUGAGUGAUAAAGAUUGCAGACCAUUUAUGGAGAAGAUCGCUAGUAGAAUCGAGAGCUGGGCUACACAAAAGCUCUCUUAUGCUGGUACGCUCUUUGGUUAAUUUUUGGUGUAAUACUUUUGUUUUGCCAAAGGUGUUGAGAGCAGUAGAGCAAAAGUGUAAAUGUUUUCUUUGGAAGGAAAAAAAAAAAAAACUGUAAUGCGAGAGGAGCUAAAGUUGCAAGGGAAGUAGUUUGUCUUCCAAAGAAAGAAGGGGGAUUAGGAGUUAAGGAUUUGGAAACCUGGAAUUAUGCUAGUAAUUUAAGACUCAUAUGGCUCCUAUUCCAAAAAGCUGGAUCAUCAUGGAUUGCUUGGGUUAGGGCUUACUUAAUAAAAGGCAAGAGCUUUUGGGAUCUUCAAAUGCUGAAAUACUGUUCUUACCCUUGGAGGAAGAUUCUAUAAUUGAGGAAGAAAGCCUACCCCUUAAUUCAGCAUAUUAUUAGGCAUGGCAAGAGCAAAUAUUUUUGGUUUGACAACUGGAAUUAUUCCAGUCCUCUCUUGAGUUCUACUGAGGGUGCUAGAUAUGGUAUUGUUAAGUUCUGAAUUGUUGCUGCUGCACUUACAAAUUUUAGGGGGCUGAAUAGACAGUGCAGGGACCAAAGAAAGCAAAAAAUAAGAGAUUUACUGCUGUGCACCAAUCUUACCGAUGGUGCAGAUGAAGUGAAGUGGGUUGUGAUUGUGAAUAGGAAGGGUGUGUAUACUAUAUCAAGCACUCGGGAAGCUUCAAGGAAGAUGAACUCAAAUAUUGGGGUGGUACAAGCUAGUUUGGUUCCAUCCAUGUAGUCCUAGACAUUGUUUUAUUAGUUGGUUAGCAAUUCAAAAUAAGCUUUCCACUCUUGAGAAAGUUGCCACAUGGGGGUAUUGGUGUUGAUACAACUUAUUGUAUUUUCUGUCAUGAAGAAACUGAGACAAGAGACCAUAUAUUCCUUUCUUACUCAUUCACUAAGGAUGUUUAGAGGAAGGUGUUGCAUAUGACAGGUCAUGGCAGAGAUGUAGGUAGCUGUAAUCAAGAGUUUUCUCGGGCAAUCAAUACUUUUAAAUUAAGGAAAAUCUAUUCGGGUUACUACUUUGAAAAUUGCCUGGCAUGCCUAUUUCUACUUUGCUUGGAGAUCUCUGAACCAGGUUCUACAUGAAGGAACCCCAUGAAGGCAUAUGGCAAGCUAUAAAGACUGGGGUCGGCUCUUGGGGAUUAAAAUCUUCAAGCAAGAGUUAAAGACUCCACUCCAGAGGCAGCUCAUUGUCAAUUAUGAGCCACGAGGACUGUCAAGUCGGGGCUCGAACUAGCGUGGAAUCUGGGCUUCCGCGGGCUCAUGCUCGAGGCGGACUUUGAGGUAAUAGCUCAUAACUCGAUCGAUGCAUUGACGGACAUGGGCAGGACUACCACUUGCCGAGAGGGUAAUGCUUGUACAGAUUGGCCGGUGUCCCAUGUUAAAUUCACGUCCCCUAGAAAAAAGGAAACAGCUUAAUUAUAAUCGAACAUGCAAGUGAACAUGAAAAGUUCAACGAUAAAUCUCUAUUUUUUUACUAGGCCCAUCAUCCUCUUUGAUAAUAGUUCAAUAACGACGGAAGUACCAUAUCCCCAAGCAAUAAAAAAAUAUGCAAGCCCCUUUGAAUCAUCGCUUAGAAAAUUGAUAGACGUUGUGCUUCUUGAUCGUAUGCAUUUUUCUUUUUUAAGCUCAAUUUGCACAUGUUAUAAUAAUUCUUCAGUUGAAAUCAAA